rnacentral:rRNA from 1 species
UACGAAGGGGGCUAGCGUUGCUCGGAAUCAUUGGGCGUAAAGCGCGCGUAGGCGGCCCUGUAAGUCCGUUGUGAAAGUCAAAGGCUCAACCUUUGAAAGCCGAUGGAUACUGCAGGGCUAGAGUCCGGAAGAGGCGAGUGGAAUUCCUGGUGUAGCGGUGGAAUGCGCAGAUAUCAGGAGGAACACCGGUGGCGAAGGCGGUUCUCUGGGCAUUACCUGACGCUGAGGAGCGAAAGUGUGGGGAGCGAACAGG